CUCUAUAAUUUAAAGAAAACGCUUCACCCCCGAGCGCACAGCUGCGUAGCAUAGCCUCAAACGGACCGCGAUAUUUCUGUUAAAAUGUCUGUAAAGAUCUUUAUUCUUUUUACGUUUUUUAUAGUUGCACUCAACAUCAUGCAUGUGGAGGCGACAAGAGCUCCAUACAGUUAUUAUAUUUAUGGCGAACUGGACUCAGGAGAUGGUGUCGAGACAAUGGAUGUAGACCCCCUAGGUGUCUUAUAAUAACUGACAAAGCCUCUAACUAUUGAAUGCACUUUCUCCCUAUGUCACCAACUGUAGAGAAACUUCAUAAUGUACUUCUAAAAGAAUGGAUCGGACAUCGGAAAGGACGGUAGACGAGGAAUCCGCAAUUUCAUCUGUCACUUCAUCAAUGUUUAACCAAAAAUCUUUACAAUUGUUUCAAUCAUUCUUAUAUUAUAUAGCAAAUAAAUCAUUUUUUUUAUUUGUUUCAAAACUAAAUGCAACGGUAUCGUAAGUGGUUUUUUGCACACGUUAAGUAUUGUUAAGUAUAUUGAGUUGAAAAAAAUUAAGUGGAAAAUAAAAUAAAAAAUCUUUAAGUCUUCGUGUACGUAUACGCCAAAAUAGAAAUGUCAUAAAUAGUUGCUUUUUUCAUCG